GCGGCACCAUUCACAGCAGCUAAAAGGUGGAAAUAAGCCAAGCAUUUAUGGCUGAUGAGUGAAUAGAAAGAACGUGGCACUGGAAUACAGAUAUAAUGGAAUAUUAUCCAGUCAUAAAUUACAUGAAGUACGGCAGUAAAAUAUCAUUACACGAAGUACUAAAACACACGGUGAUGUGGAGGGACCCUGAAAACGAAGCUGAGCGGAGGAAGCCGAUCCCAAAGGCCGCGUGCUGUUCAGCUCCCUCUGCAUUUACUGCUCCAAACCGGCAAGUUCUCGGGCACAGAGGACGGGACAAGUGGUUGCCAGGCCGAGGGGCAGGAUUCGUGGGAGUGACUGCUUGAUGGAUGAGUUUUCCUUUCAGGCUGAGGGUUGCAGGACAGUGUGAACGUCGUGAGUCACCACGGAGCUGCUCACUCUCGAGUGGUUCAAAGAUAAAUCUUAGGGCAUGUGUGUUUAUCAACUCCCGGCCCCCGGAGUGUCUCGGGUACGAUGGGAACAAGCCCAGGAGGAAGGUGGCCUGGCUGCUGGGCCAGAGGACAUGGAGUGAUGCUGGCAGUGUACCACGGUGACCUCAGAAAUCUAGGGGUGCGGAGCAGGCAGGUGGGGAGCAGCAUGUUUCUACAGCUGAUGUUGACAUGCUGGGAGAAGAAGCUGCUGCCAGCUGCAGGCCGCCCGAGUUAGAGAGAGCACGUUCGUGUGCGUGCGUGCCUGCGUGCGCGCAUUCCUGUGGCUAAAAUGGGCUGGGACUUACCCUCCUUGGCCACGCCCAGGCUGAAGACAACCUCUCCUCUGCCCUGGCAGGAAGCGUCCGGAGCGCCGCCAGGACAUCUGCUUCAUCUUCCUUGGCAACAAAAGGCGCCCUGAGAGGGACUCUAGGCUGGGGACUGGGAGCAACCCUAACCCUCCUCCUUUUCUCCUGCAGGAGUGGACAGGAGCUCCAGCCUGGAGUCUCAGAGAGCGCCCCAUGCAGGAAGGCAGGUUUCACACCCAGGGAGGCCCAAGGACCCCUGAGCACCUGGGCCGGGAGCAGAGUCCCUUGCGUGGGGCAGCUCCUCCGCUGGGACCUGUUUGGCUUCGGACCCCGGUGAGCUGUCCAGGAGAAAGACGGGGCCUUUGGCUCAGACAGAUUUUGUGGACUUGCUUCCUCGGGGUCAUGCAGAUUUCCAUUUCAUGCACAUAAUCACCGUCAUCUCCGAGUGGCCGGGGCCUGUGCUGCCCCACUGUGCCAUGCAUCGGGCCAUAGCUGUCCAGUUCUGAGUGAGCAGAGAGAAGAGACUGGCCAGGCAGCAAAGCCAGACUUUGGUUGGACUGCACUGAGGCCAGGGCACCCAGGAGAUUUCUAGGGCCUGGCUGGCCUGCCCAGAAAGGCCCGAUGGGUGAGACUGCUGUCUCCCAGUGCAGAGCCACUCCCAAACCCAGGGCCCCAGCCCCUGCAGACAUCUCUGAAGAAGCCCUCUCGAGCAUCCUGAGGCUCUGGAGGAUCCCUUCCAGAGAGAAACUCAGCUGGCUUCUCACCCUAGAGAAGAAAGAGGGAGCUUGAAAAGAAGAACUCAAAAAGCACAGUGAUCGAACCAAAGAAAGAAAUCUCAAAUGAUAGAAAUUCAGACCUUGAAGACCAGUCACGGGGAGGAAGGAGGCCUUCCUGGCACGCAGAGCGGGUGCCACGUUCCUGACUUCCUGUGUCUGACCUCCCCUGCUGGGGCCAUCUCUCCUGACGGAGGCUGGGCCUGGCUCCAAGCGCUGAGCUUAGGAGGCAGCCUGCUCCCCUCCAGGCCCUCUGACCGCAGAGCAGCCGAGGAAGGAUAACAAGUUCUGAAAAGAACAACAAAGGCUUGUGGGCUGGGAAACAGGAAGUGGGGCUUCUGCACUUGCAGUCUUCCAGUCCCACCACAAUCUCAGGGCACGCUCUCCAUUGCUAAGUACAGAGAAAUCACAGCCAGCCGGCUUCUGGUUUGCUUCCUUGUUUUGGUUAAAAUCAGUGGAAUUUCUUUUCCUCAAGCAAAAAAUCUUACCCAGAGCUCUAAAAAACAUGACAUGAAAUCAGUAAGAAGGCUUCCCCAGUGAAGUAUUUUCUUGGCCCAAGUGAGAGGACACCACGCCUCCCUGUGGAAUUGGACAACUGGGUUAACUGGGUAACUAUGCUCUUUGUAGAAUGCACCUGAGUAACCUUGACAGCUUCUGGAAUCUGUCACGAAAGGAGCAGAACAGACUCACAAAGUCCUGCCAGAGCUCUUGGCCCACCCCCUCCCCGUGCUUUGUGUAAAUCCUGCUUGCCAUAUUCCCAGGGAAACUCCAAUGAAAAUAAGCCUCGUAGAUGUAAAAGAGGUACAGAAAGAAGAGCGAACUUCUCUUCAGGCUCUCGAGACUGACAGGAGCCACUGGCUGAGCCACCGGCCAUAAAGCCAGUUUGCUCCUUCUUUGUGUGUCAGAGUGCUCUGUCCAGGUGUCCCCACAGUUUCCUGCUUCAGACGAACGCUAAUGGUCAUGGAAUCUCUAAGUUCCUACAGCUCCGUUUUGAUCCUCUGUCCUCAAAGUCAGCUUCUUCUGCACCUGGGAAAACCAACGGCAGAGACUGUUGGCCUGCUGAAACUCUCAGGACAGCAAAGGUGGCACCAGGUUCCCCAGAAAUCCUUCCAGGGCUCUAAAACCAGCAUAAGCCCUUCCUUAGUCCAAAAUGGUAACUUUGAACAGAAGCAGAGCUGCUGAGGCUCUGGCAGUUAGAGGUCCAGCAUCGAAGUCCUUGCCGACUAGACAUCCGGUAAGGACACAGACAGUGUCGUCUCGCUGUCUUCCUGCAUGGAAAGGCAAGAUAGGUCUCCGGACCUUUUUUUAAGAGCACCUGGUCACUGCGUAAUGACCCCAGCGCUAACACUGUUACAGAGCCGAUUGCAUUUGGGCGUGAGUUCUGGGGUUCUUCUGGGGGACCGGCUCUGCCUGGCAGCCCAGCCUUUCUGCAGGGCACAGCCACACCUGCCCAGCCUGCAUGGGCACGCUGCCGUCAGCUCCACACACAGGUGGAAAAUGAGGUCCAACCCUGCCAGAGCAGCCUCCUGGAUGGGCGUGGCAGUCUCCCCAGCCCAUCGCUCCAGGUGCAAGGGUGCCCCCUGUGUGGGGAGGGUGCGCUGGGCUGUCUCUGACCCAAGGAGGUGCUGAGGUCGGAAUGCUCGUGGCCCUCAGUGUCGAACCCCGCCCAUGAUGAGGCGUCCGGAGGGAGGGCGGAAGGGGUUGGGAGGGCUUGGGAGGUCGGAGUCCUGCCUGGGGUCCUGGCCUUCCAGAAGAGCCCUUCCACUGCGCGGGCACACAGGAAGACGCUGCCGCCAGCAGCCGGCGAGCGGCCCCACCACACGAGGAAUCUGCAGGCCCUUGGUCUUGGGCCUCCUGCCUCUGGAACUCAGAUCAUUUCUGUUGUUGUUAGGCCUCUCGGCGUGUGGCGUUUCGUUUUAUAGCCUGACAGGAUGAGGACAGGAGGCCUCACUUCCAACCAUCCCUGGUGAGCGUGGCCUUCUCAUCCAGACCCUGCCGGGGACCAGCCUCCGCUGCCAAGGGCCACAGCCUUGCAGGAUGCAGAGUAGCGACCUGGGCCUCAGCCCGGGGGACCCCCUUUCCGCUGGGCCGGCACGGCCUUCCUAGCCUACAGCCCACACUGGCCUCAGAGUGCUCCAAACACAGCCGCUCACUUGGGCCUCCUGCCCCAGGGCCUUUUCUCUGCCUCCCAAACCCACAGACUCACCUAGCUCUGUGGCCAAAGCACUCUCCCGAGCAGCUCACCCAGCCUCAGCCCCCGGGGCCUCAGUCACCUGCACACCCACAGCAGACCUCACUCGGGGGCACAGGGCCCUGCUUUCCCAGAAGCCUGGCUCAAGCAUCAGACACCGUCUGACCAGUGCUCCGCUGCCGCAGCACAGCUGUCUUCAUGGUCAGAUGCCCGGGUGUAGAGGGGAGGAAGCGGGAUUCCAGCACUUGGAGCCAGCCAUCAGCAGAGGUGUGACACAUCCUAGGGGAGUUGGUCAGGGAGCGUGUCGGGUCUCCUCAUGGUUAGGGCUGUGUGCAGCCCUCCAUGCCUACCUGGGAGGUGGCCACUGUAGGACUGAGCUCCCCCCAAGGCCCCUGACCCCACCUCACCCCCCAGCCAUGUAGCUCUGGAGGCCCCCGGGGCACAGGGCCAGCACAGCCUGCCCUGUCCACACCUGGGCCGGGCCAGGAAGGAGGGGCGCUGAAGGGUCAAGGCCCACAGCUGCUUUGUGCUGUGCGUGAGGAAGCAUCUUCUAGACCCACAUGGCCCCUCUCCGGACUCGUGCACUUGAAAAGGCGGCCACGCCGGGAUUGGAGCCCCCAGAGAGUCCAAGGGUAGCGGAGGCCUGCAGGGAGCUGUGGUGAUCUUCAGGUGGCCGUGGACUCCUGGCAGCUGAGAGUUCAGCUCUGGCAAAGGCUUGCUUAUUCAUCCACUCAGCCACAGCCAGCCAGUGCCAGGCAUUAUACUGGCUGCUGGGACACAGCAGUGGGAUUUAGCCGGGUGAGGCGGCGCACACCUGCCAUCCCAGCUACUCAGGAGGCUGCAGUCAGAGGCCAGCGUGGGCGACUUAGCAAGACCCCAUCUCAAAGUAAAAACUUAACCAAAGAGCUGGGGCUGUAGCUCAGUGCUCCCUGGGUUCAAUCCCCAGCACCACAAGAACAAGGCAGAACUUACAAACUUCCCUGGCUUCUGCUGCAGGGGGAGGAGAACAAGAUGAAGCGGUGACGCGCUCCGCGGUGGUGAUCAGGGGCAGAUGGAGCAUGGAGAGGAGUGUUUGAGGUGCACUCUGACGCGGUGGGAGGAGGCCUCCCUGGUGCCAGACCGGUGACCGGCCCUGAAGAGUGUCAGGGAAGCCCCGGGGCUGGAGCACCCCGGUGAGCCAGAGGGACGGCGGGGGAGGCAGGAUGGCGGCAGCCAUGCCGUGACCUGGGAGUGUCUCAGGAGAUGCUGUCGGGGUCGAGUGGUGGCCCCAAGAGCCUGUGCUGGAGUCCUAUCUGAGGAGCCUACCAGUGUGUGAAAUCUUGCGAGUGCAGUCACCCCAGGGAGCCUCGAGAUGCGCUCAGCCGAUCAUCCAACACAAGGGCUUUUGCAGUGACAUGCAGAGGACAGACGUGGGGAAAGAGGGGAGACCAGGAAAGCCAGAGGCAAAGACUGCAGUGGCCAGGGGUCAGGGGCUGGGGAAGGCAGGGGGGGGUCGGGACGGGGCCCUGCCGCCACUCCAUUUCAGCCUUGCCUUGCAGAACUGUGAGAGAAGACAGCUCUGCUGUCAUCUGUGACCACCACCCUGGGAAACUGACACAGAUGGGCCUCCGGGAGGCCUGGGCUGGGAGGGACACGGCCCCUGGUCAGAGGGUCCCUCCUCCUGCUGUGUGCGGAAGUCCAGGGAUAUCAGGCACAGACAGCAGCUGGGAAUGAGCUGCUGGGUCCCAGGCUGCGGCUGGAUGGUGCCAGGUCUGGUGACCCCAGGCUCUUCCUGUCCUGCCCAAAGAAUUGGCAGGGACAGCAGAUGAAUGGGUGGACACAACUUUCAUUUAAGGUAGAGAAAGAAAGGGAAAGUGCAGAAGAGAACAGCAAGAAGAGAUACGGACCGGGUGCAGGAGUGGCCACUGCAAAAACAGGAAGCAUCGGACAGCAGGGUCUCAGAGGCAGCGGUCAGUGGCCACUGUCUUUCGUAUCCGCCCAGACUCUGACUGGGAGGAAGCUGCUCUGCCCACGCAGCCUGGCUGUGAUGCACACAUCACAUCCUGUUGAUCGGUCUCCAGUCAGGCUUGGGUUACAUCCGAAACCUAUUUUCAGCCAGCCUGCAGUGCCCUAGUCUCCUGCCUCAGGGCACAGGCCCCAAAGUCCUGAAAGCAGGGACGGGUAGGCGGAUGGCUGGCUGGGGAAGGAAGCCCUGGACAGUGGGGCCCAGGCCUUUGGACUUGGUGAGCCAAGUGGGGAAGGGCCCUGCGCCCCAGGGCCAGGGGAGUCCGCUCUUGUGAGGGCCCAAGAGAUGGUGUCAUCGUAGGACGGGAGCAGGCCCUGAAAACCCGCACAGCCUUCAGAAAGCAGAGGAGAGAGGCCUGAGCCAGGUGGGUUGGGGCCGGCGCAUGGCGUGUGGAGCCAAGCCAAGCGCCUGGCCCCUGCGGUGGCUCACUGCCUUUGAAACUGGUGUGGGUCCCCUGCCUUCCCUCUUCGCUCUCUCCCACCCCCACCCGUGCUUUGUCAGCAGCAGCUCAGCACCUGAAGUCCCUCGAACCGCCUUCUGGUCAUUUCAGUAAUGAGUGACGGACUCCAGGCCCGCCUUCCCGGCCUCCAUGCUGGGCUGGGCUGUCUUCAUCCACCUGUGGAACACAAUUGAAAACAGACUCCCUCCCACUGCUUGGAAAUUCCCAGAGAGGACACCCCGGGGCCCCAAAGGGACAGAGGGCAGCAGGCAGGAUAUACAUGGCGUGAUGGGACAAUGAGAUGGAUGUUUACCUUUUUAAAAUACAUUACAAUAAAAGACACAUUGCUGGUAAUCUCCCUCAAAAUCUCCCUCAAAAUCUCCCUCUUGCUCCAAACACACUGCCCCGUUGUUCCUGCCACUUUCUGAAGCAGAUCUGGAAGUCCUCUUUCGUGAGUGUUUACAGGGUGUGACAAAAACUCGCGGACUGCUGCUGCUGAGCACCAUCCAAGGAAGGGCAGGCUUGUAAAAGCAUCACAGCGCGUCUCAUCCACCCUGCUCGCUGGAUCUGUCACCGUGCAACUUCUGGCUCUUCCCCAAAGUCAAAAUGCCCAGUACAGGUUAACAUUUUAAAUCAAAUCAGGACAUUAAGGCAGUGACAGUAAUGCCACUAAAGACACUCAGGAAAGAGGACUCCCAGCACUGCUUCGGAAGAUGGCAAGCAGGACGGGAUGAGCGUGUUGGGGGGCUCUUCAGGGGGUCAGUGUCAGAGCAGUACUUUUGGGAGGGCGUGCUGCAGGCAAGGCAGGCCCGCUGAAGCUACUGAGUCUGUUUGAUUUGCUUGGCCCCAGCUUAGGACGACUAAGCAACGAACCCAAGCCUGGACCCUGGUGAUGGUCCUGGUACACGGUGCCGGCCUCCUGUCAAGGGGAGUCAGGGCUGUGUGUGUUCUGGGGGAGCAGCCUAGACUUCUCAAGGUCGGGGUACUCCGUCCUGGAACUUGAUGUUUUUAGAUCUUGGAGUUAACUCUGCCCACCCUGGCUCUGGGAAGUUGUCCGGCCUCAGCUGCUAGCUGCUCCCUGUCCCUCCUAAGGGACCCAUCCCUCAGCGGACUUCCAGGGUGCCAGGCCCAAUUUCAGCUCCAACCGAGGCCCUGGGCCGCACCCACCCCACCUGCAGGGGGAGCCAGAGCAGAGCGACCACGUGAUUGGAUGGGACACAGCCCCAGCACCUCCCAGGGGAGAACUCAGACCCUCCUCUUACCCAGAAGGGCUGUCUCUGAAACACUCCCUGACUUGCGCUGAGGGACACUGUCCCCAAGCAGAGCGCAGUUAGUUCGGCAGAGCCAGGAGUUGUAACCAACUCCGAUUGGUACGCCAUGGGAAAGAUGAACCCUUGGCACAUUAAACCCCAUGGAUCCCGCAGCUGACUUUGGGGUUGUGUGGCAGGGGUCAGUGCUGGAAAGGUUAGACUGCUGGGCCCUGGGCGGGGAAGGGAGGUUUCUGAGAAGAAGCUGGUCUACAUGUGGAGUGUCCCCUGGUACAGAUCCGGCUUUCACCCUCAGAAAAGCCCUGGGAGUCCACAGGCCCCAGAGCAUGUUUCCACACCACCUUCGUGAGGUCCUCCCCACACAGUCCCUAUGCCAGGCAUGAGUAGCUGGAGCCCAGAGAAACUGAGUCACGGCCGGCCCGCACGGGAACUCAGAGGCAGAGCUUGGUUCUCCUGACCCCUGUGAUUUUUCACACUGUGUCCCUCCUGAAGAGCUGGAGCCCACCCAGAACAGGUCUGAGGCCUAAUUUAGGGGCAGUGCUUGGUGUGGCUAUCAGAACUGGGAGUUUGAUGGGUGGCAAGCUCCGUGGGACAGGUGUGACACAGUCCAGCAGGGGUUUAGCACCCCGAGGGAGGACAGCUGGAGUUCCCAGCAGCCGGCAGCAGGGCCCCGGAAGGCACAGUUUCAGAGACACUGUGCCCAUGGUGUGCCCAGGUGAGGGCAUGCAGGACCAUGCAGGUCUCACAGUGACCCCGAGGAAUGGCUGAAGAAACUGAGGACAGGCCAUCUGGAGAAGCGAGGCCACUGACGGCAGACAAGCUGCCAAAUCCACGAACUUAUCCGUGACAGGAGGAACAGCAGUCUCCUUGUGUGGCCCAGGACAGAGUUAGGCCACAGAGGGGCAGGAGGGAGAGAGAAGGAGAGAGAACUUGGAGCCCGGUGGGGGCAGAAGGAGAGACCAGGGCUGGUUGCUGGCUUUGGUCCCGGCUCCCCCCUCCAUGCACAGCAUCUGGUCCCUGCAGGCAGCCACAAGAGAACUGUAGCCCCCGGCAUCCCUCCUGGAGAAGCCACAUUCUCCAAAGGCAGGGCCUGCCUGGCCGAGACCUUGGGGACCGAGGAAGGACUGGCCCUGACAUCAAAGCCCCUACGCAAGGCCUCCCAGGAGAGAUGUCCUCUGUCUCCACCCCGGGAGUGCUGUUGCUUGGUAGCUUGCUUCCAGGUCACGUGGACAGGCCAGCGAGGGACCAGCCGUGAGCUCCCAGCUGGACAGCAGUUCUCGGGCAGGAGCGGGUGGCUCUUCCUAAGAGCCUCGUGCGUGAGCCGCCAGCAGGACCUGGGCAGACCCUCCUGUCAGUGACAGACAAGAGACAUCUAUUAUUCUCAAAUUCCCCGUUAGUUUCUUACAGUAAUAUAUACGUGAUACAGAAAAUUUUGAAAAUACACAAAAACGUACAAAAAUUAAUGCCAUUUUUAAUCCUACCACAUAUUAUAAUCUACACUUUAGUCUUUUUCUAACAUCUUGAAGAGACCUGUCCACAUGCCUUGGUGACCCAGAAGGGCCCCUAGUGUGCACAGCGAGGCCCCCAGGCCCGGACCCGAGAGCACCUCCCUGCCUCACCCCCAGAGUCCCACGUCUUGGGGCACUGAGGGGAAGUCACGGGACGGACGGAGUCCUCCCAAGGCGCUGGCCCCUGCAGCCUUGGCCUCUUGAGCCCAGGGCCACUGUCCUGGGGACCCAAACAUCCUGCUCUCUGGCUGUUGCCCUCCGCCUUUCUUUGUUUGUUCCCCAUUCCCAGCCUCCCCUCCACCCUCUGAAGCACCAACAGCUCUGCUGACAUCUCUCAGGUGGCUGGGGAUGGGGUCAGCAGGAGGACACUGUCCCUGUGAUAGACAGACAUGGCUGUUACACCGCGUUUACACACGGCGGUGUCUGUGUACACACACGCACGCACACACACACGCACACAUAUGUACAUUUUCCAUUGAGGACUAAAUUGCUUUGUAGCCUACUUUUUACCUAUAUUUUAGAAGGUUUUCUUGUGCCUGAAUAUUCUUCAAAAAUACCAUUUUAAAUGGCUGUGUAAUUGUGCAGAUAUAUCAAAAUAUAUGUAACUGUUCACCUAUUCCAGAGCUACUGGACUUCCUUUCUU
ensembl:lncRNA